GCCCGAAUGGCGGAACUGGCAGACGCGCCGGACUCAAAAUCCGGUGGCCGCAAGGCCGUGUGGGUUCGACCCCCUCUUCGGGCACCA
rnacentral:tRNA from 1 species